UUUUUAUGAUGAUAACUUUUGUCCAGUUCUGCUACUGAAUGAAAAUGGUGAUAACGAGACACCUGAGAAAG